UAACAAUGUACAGGGAUACUGGAGUGAUGGAGGUAGAUAUGUAGAGGGGUAAACAUACUAUAUACAGGGUCAGUUCAUUACCAUAUUAACAAUGUACAGGGAUACUGGAGUGAUGGAGGUAGAUAUGUAGAGGGGUAAACAUACUAUAUACAGGGUCAGUUCAUUACCAUAUUAACAAUGUACAGGGAUACUGGAGUGAUAGAGGUAGAUAUGUAGAGGGGUAAACAUACUAUAUACAGGGUCAGUUCAGUACCAUAUUAACAAUGUACAGGGAUACUGGAGUGAUGGAGGUAGAUAUGUAGAGGGGUAAACAUACUAUAUACAGGGUCAGUUCAGUACCAUAUUAACAAUGUACAGGGAUACUGGAGUGAUGGAGGUAGAUAUGUAGAGGGGUAAACAUACUAUAUACAGGGUCAGUUCAUUACCAUAUUAACAAUGUACAGGGAUACUGGAGUGAUAGAGGUAGAUAUGUAGAGGGGUAAACAUACUAUAUACAGGGUCAGUUCAGUACCAUAUUAACAAUGUACAGGGAUACUGGAGUGAUGGAGGUAGAUAUGUAGAGGGGUAAACAUACUAUAUACAGGGUCAGUUCAGUACCAUAUUAACAAUGUACAGGGAUACUGGAGUGAUAGAGGUAGAUAUGUAGAGGGGUAAACAUACUAUAUACAGGGUCAGUUCAGUACCAUAUUAACAAUGUACAGGGAUACUGGAGUGAUAGAGGUAGAUAUGUAGAGGGGUAAACAUACUAUAUACAGGGUCAGUUCAGUACCAUAUUAACAAUGUACAGGGAUACUGGAGUGAUGGAGGUAGAUAUGUAGAGGGGUAAACAUACUAUAUACAGGGUCAGUUCAUUACCAUAUUAACAAUGUACAGGGAUACUGGAGUGAUAGAGGUAGAUAUGUAGAGGGGUAAACAUACUAUAUACAGGGUCAGUUCAGUACCAUAUUAACAAUGUACAGGGAUACUGGAGUGAUGGAGGUAGAUAUGUAGAGGGGUA